CGGGCAUGUUUGGGCGUCGCACCUCACCGGAUGCGAUUCAGGCGCCGCUGCCACCUUGGAGGCGGGUAAAGAUGGUGGUGGGGAUAAGUGUGAAUUGAAUUCCGCCAUCGCCGUUGCUACUCGUGCUCCUAAAGAAGGAGGAUUUUUAGUGUUGAUGAUGUGGCAGGAGGAGUUUGUGGCUAGACUAUGACUGAGCUAUUGCUGAGCUAUUUCUAUUGUGGAUGGCCUGAGGAGAGUGGUCACUUUCUUUUGCCCUCGAGAAUUAAAUGAAAACAGCAUUCAUGAAGGUGUGCUAGAAUGGAUCGUGACUAAAAUGUUAUAAGCUCGAAUGAUAGGCGGAGUGGCUUGGCGAUUGCAGUUUGUAUGCGAGCGUGUUUUAUUUGGAAAGAUGAAGAAAAAAUAAUAGAGCGAAGUUCUGGAACAUUAGAGAGAGUGCUGCAGCUAAACUAUUAUUGUGUUCCACCCUUCAUUUUUGUAUGAUUAAAAUGAAUUAUCAUCUCUCACUUGCACUAGAGUUCAAACAUCAUUUAAUGUUGGGAAAAUUCUAUCA